rnacentral:rRNA from 1 species
UCAAAAACAUCGCCUCUUGACAAAAUAUAUGAGGUCCAGCCUGCCCAGUGACCCAAUUAAACGGCCGCGGUACCCUAACCGUGCGAAGGUAGCGUAAUCACUUGUUCUCUAAAUUAGGACUAGUAUGAAUGGCAUCACGAAGGUUAUACUGUCUCCCCUUUUUAAUCAGUGAAACUAAUCUCCCCGUGAAGAAGCGGGAAUUUAAUUAUAAGACGAGAAGACCCUAUGGAGCUUUAAACUAAAAACACCUGUUAUUAAAUUUAAAAAUUCCCAUAUAUUUUUACAUAAUGAUUUAUAGUUUUAGGUUGGGGUGACCAUGGAGUAAAAAUUAACCUCCAUAAUGAAUCUAAUUAAGCAAAAAAUUACAAUUUUAUUCAUCAAUACAUUGACAUUUAUUGACCCAAUAUUUUGAUCAUUGAACCAAGUUACCCUAGGGAUAACAGCGCAAUCUACUUUUAAAGUUCAUAUCGACAAGUAGGUUUACGACCUCGAUGUUGGAUCAGGAUAUCCCAGUGGUGCAGCCGCUACUAAAGGUUCGUUUGUUCAACGAUUAAAAUCCUACGUGAUCUG